rnacentral:rRNA from 1 species
CUGGAGGUAUCAGAAGUGCGAAUGCUGACAUGAGUAACGACAAAGGGGGUGAAAAACCUCCUCGCCGGAAGACCAAGGGUUCCUGUCCAACGUUAAUCGGGGCAGGGUGAGUCGACCCCUAAGGUGAGGCCGAAAGGCGUAAUCGAUGGGAAACGGGUUAAUAUUCCCGUACUUCUGACUAUUGCGAUGGGGGGACGGAGAAGGCUAGGUGGGCCAGGCGACGGUUGUCCUGGUUCAAGUGCGUAGGCUUGAGAGUUAGGUAAAUCCGGCUCUCUCUAAGGCUGAGACACGACGUCGAGCUACUACGGUAGUGAAGUCAUUGAUGCCAUGCUUCCAGGAAAAGCCUCUAAGCUUCAGAUAGUCAGGAAUCGUACCCCAAACCGACACAGGUGGUCGGGUAGAGAAUACCAAGGCGCUUGAGAGAACUCGGGUGAAGGAACUAGGCAAAAUGGUACCGUAACUUCGGGAGAAGGUACGCUCUUGAUGGUGAAGUCCCUCGCGGAUGGAGCUGACGAGAGUCGCAGAUACCAGGUGGCUGCAACUGUUUAUUAAAAACACAGCACUGUGCAAAAUCGCAAGAUGACGUAUACGGUGUGACGCCUGCCCGGUGCCGGAAGGUUAAUUGAUGGGGUUAGCGCAAGCGAAGCUCUUGAUCGAAGCCCCGGUAAACGGCGGCCGUAACUAUAACGGUCCUAAGGUAGCGAAAUUCCUUGUCGGGUAAGUUCCGACCUGCACGAAUGGCGUAAUGAUGGCCACGCUGUCUCCACCCGAGACUCAGUGAAAUUGAAAUCGCUGUGAAGAUGCAGUGUACCCGCGGCUAGACGGAAAGACCCCGUGAACCUUUACUACAGCUUGGCACUGAACAUUGAACCUACAUGUGUAGGAUAGGUGGGAGGCUAUGAAGACGUGACGCCAGUUGCGUUGGAGCCGUCCUUGAAAUACCACCCUUGUAUGUUUGAUGUUCUAACUUAGACCCAUUAUCUGGGUUGAGGACAGUGCCUGGUGGGUAGUUUGACUGGGGCGGUCUCCUCCCAAAGAGUAACGGAGGAGCACGAAGGUGGGCUAAUCACGGUUGGACAUCGUGAGGUUAGUGCAAUGGCAUAAGCCCGCUUAACUGCGAGAAUGACGGUUCGAGCAGGUGCGAAAGCAGGUCAUAGUGAUCCGGUGGUUCUGUAUGGAAGGGCCAUCGCUCAACGGAUAAAAGGUACUCCGGGGAUAACAGGCUGAUACCGCCCAAGAGUUCAUAUCGACGGCGGUGUUUGGCACCUCGAUGUCGGCUCAUCACAUCCUGGGGCUGAAGUCGGUCCCAAGGGUAUGGCUGUUCGCCAUUUAAAGUGGUACGCGAGCUGGGUUUAGAACGUCGUGAGACAGUUCGGUCCCUAUCUGCCGUGGGCGUUGGAAGAUUGAAGGGGGCUGCUCCUAGUACGAGAGGACCGGAGUGGACGAACCUCUGGUGUUCGGGUUGUGUCGCCAGACGCAUUGCCCGGUAGCUAAGUUCGGAAUUGAUAAGCGCUGAAAGCAUCUAAGCGCGAAGCGAGCCCUGAGAUGAGUCUUCCCUGACAGUUUAACUGUCCUAAAGGGUUGUUCGAGACUAGAACGUUGAUAGGCAGGGUGUGUAAGCGUUGUGAGGCGUUGAGCUAACCUGUACUAAUUGCCCGUGAGGCUUAACCAUACAACACCCAAGGGGUUUUGUA